rnacentral:rRNA from 1 species
CCUACGGGUGGCAGCAGUGGGGAAUAUUGGACAAUGGGGGGAACCCUGAUCCAGCCAUGCCGCGUGUGUGAAGAAGGCCCUCGGGUUGUAAAGCACUUUCAGUGAGGAAGAACGCCUGGUGGUUAAUACCCAUCAGGAAAGACAUCACUCACAGAAGAAGCACCGGCUAACUCCGUGCCAGCAGCCGCGGUAAUACGGAGGGUGCGAGCGUUAAUCGGAAUUACUGGGCGUAAAGCGCGCGUAGGUGGCUUGAUAAGCCGGUUGUGAAAGCCCCGGGCUCAACCUGGGAACGGCAUCCGGAACUGUCAAGCUAGAGUGCAGGAGAGGAAGGUAGAAUUCCCGGUGUAGCGGUGAAAUGCGUAGAGAUCGGGAGGAAUACCAGUGGCGAAGGCGGCCUUCUGGACUGACACUGACACUGAGGUGCGAAAUCGUGGGUAGCAAACAGGAUUAGAUACCCCAGUAGUC